CCAGUAGCUCAGCUGGUAGAGCAGUCGACUCUUAAUCGAUUAGUCGGGGGUUCGAAUCCUCCCUGGCC
rnacentral:tRNA from 1 species